GUCUCUAUUGUAGGAUUUAAGAAGGCUAUAUAAAGGGGCAUUUGUGGUCUCUAGGAAAUUUUGCUGCUGGGAUUCUUGCCAAGGAUUUAGUGCUCUGGCCCUCUGCUUUUCUCUGGGGUGAAAGAAUGAUGGAAGAAGAGGGAAGGAGAAGCAUGGAGAAGGAGGGGGAACCCACAGAUGAGUUCCCUGUGGGCAUGCAUGUUUUGCC
rnacentral:lncRNA from 1 species